rnacentral:other from 1 species
GAAACCCUACCAUGUCCGUAGCACAGCGCAAAAUCUUUGAGCCAACACCACCAAAUCGGGAGCCUCGAUAGGGCCGCUUCUGCAAGUACAUUUCGGAAAGCACAUAGCAGCCCUGAGGGCACCCACCUUGGGAAACCAAGCUUUCAAAGAUUUCGUUGAUACGGCAUUGAGGUAGGGUUUUU